GAUGAAGAACGUAGCGAAAUGCGAUAAGUAGUGUGAAUUGCAGAAUUCCGUGAAUCAUCGAAUCUUUGAACGCACAUUGCGCCUCCUGGUAGUCCGGGAGGCAUGCCUGUUCGAGCGUCACCAAAUCCAACUCAAGCGGUUUUGCGCUUGGUCGUGGCGGAAGAGUCGGUCUGGUUGCCGUCUCCCCUCCGAAAAUCAACGGCGGAAAGUCACUGGCAGUCAGCGUAGUAGUAUCGUUCGCUGAACAUCCAGUGGCAUUCCUGCCGACGUACCCCCACAAUUCUCGUGAUUGACCUCGGAUCAGGUAGGGAUACCCGCUGAACUUAAGCAUAUCAAUAAGCGGAGGA
rnacentral:misc_RNA from 1 species